rnacentral:rRNA from 1 species
UACAGAGGGGGCAAGCGUUGUUCGGAAUUACUGGGCGUAAAGGGCGCGUAGGCGGCCCCGCUAAGUCGAACGUGAAAUCCCUGGGCUCAACCCAGGAACUGCGUCCGAUACUGGUGGGCUUGAAUCCGGGAGAGGUGAGUGGAAUUCCGAGUGUAGAGGUGAAAUUCGUAGAUAUUCGGAAGAACACCAGUGGCGAAGGCGGCUCACUGGACCGGUAUUGACGCUGAGGUGCGAAAAGCGUGGGGAGCAAACAGG